rnacentral:miRNA from 1 species
UCUCGGAUUUAGUAAGAGAUC